rnacentral:tRNA from 1 species
GCCAGUGUGGUGUAGUGGUUUGAGUGUUGAACUAUGAUUCUGGAGACCAGGGUUCAAUUCCCCACUCGGCCA